GCGAUUACUCUUAUCUCCAUCACU
rnacentral:miRNA from 1 species